GACGAACGCUGGCGGCGUGCUUAACACAUGCAAGUCGAACGGAAAGGCCCUGCUUUUGUGGGGUGCUCGAGUGGCGAACGGGUGAGUAACACGCGAGUAACCUGCCCUUGACUUUGGGAUAACUUCAGGAAACUGGGGCUAAUACCGGAUAGGAGCUCCUGCUGCAUGGUGGGGGUUGGAAAUUUUCGGCGGUUGGGUAUGGACUCGCGGCUUAUCAGCUUGUUGGUGGGGUAGUGGCUUACCAAGGCUUUGACGGGUAGCCGGCCUGAGAGGGUGACCGGCCACAUUGGGACUGAGAUACGGCCCAGACUCCUACGGGAGGCAGCAGUGGGGAAUAUUGCACAAUGGGCGGAAGCCUGAUGCAGCAACGCCGCGUGCGGGAUGACGGCCUUCGGGUUGUAAACCGCUUUCGCCUGUGACGAAGCGUGAGUGACGGUAAUGGGUAAAGAAGCACCGGCUAACUACGUG
rnacentral:rRNA from 1 species